AACGAACGCUGGCGGCGUGCCUAACACAUGCAAGUCGUGCGAGAAAGUUCCUUCGGGAGCGAGUAAAGCGGCGCACGGGUGAGUAACACGUAGGUAACCUGCCCCCCAGUCUGGAACAACUAGAGGAAACUCUAGCUAAUGCCGGAUGAGACCACGAUCCCUUCGGGGUUGCGGCCCAAAGAUGGCCUCUACUUGUAAGCUAUCGCUGAGGGAUGGGCCUGCGGCCAUUAGCUUGUUGGUGAGGUAACGGCUCACCAAGGCUGUGAUGGCUAGCUGGUCUGAGAGGAUGACCAGCCACACUGGGACUGAGACACGGCCCAAGACUCCUACGGAGGCAGCAGUGGGAAUA
rnacentral:rRNA from 1 species